GGGCGUAUAGCUCAGCGGUAGAGCACCUCCCUUACAAGGAGGUGGUCGGGGGUUCGAUCCCCUCUGCGCCCA
rfam:Nocardioides sp. JS614, complete genome.